AUGCCCGGGCGGGGAAGCCCGAGAGUUGGCUCCCGGCCGGCCCAGGGCCCCUCCGGCCCGCAUUCCCGAGGCCUGAACGGCGAACAGGUUCCCCGCACUGGCCUGGCUGUGCCCUGGGGCCGGGGCGGGGCGGGGGGCCCCUCGAGGCCGUCCCCUGCUUCUCACCAGCUCCCCUUCUCCCUUUCUUUCUCCCCGCUCCGGACGGGUCCCCUCGAGCAAGGAGGAGGCUGGGUAGCGGCCAGCGGCCCCCCCCCCCGCAGGACCACACCGGCGCCAUCCGGCUCCCUCCUGCGGGACCCAGGACUAUUUAUUGAAGGCAUCCAGCAUCUCCAGUUAGCAGUACUGACUUUUUUCCCCCAACACUACAUCAACACUCUUGGCCUGGAUCUGGACACAGAAGACUCCUGUUUCAAGAAAAUACAAUCAUCUCUCAAAUCCUGUAAUUUAUAUGCAGUUUAAACUCACUAGGUAUUGAAAGCCACCCAAGUGUCCCACAACAUAGGGUAAAAUAUAAUCAAUCAUUCGGUGUAAUAUUAUACAUCCUUUAAAAAUGUUAUUGGAAAAUGUUUUAUGAUCUGUAAGUCAAAAUAACCCUUUCCCAUCGUUUCUUUCUCCCUGCUGCUCCCUUAUACCCACGCUUCUAUGUUCCAAUUGGCAUGUAAACUUGUCUCUCCGGCCAAAUGAGUCAGUCAUGAAGGGGAACGGCAAUUGAUUUGAACAGAUGUGUGUCAAUGUUACUUGGAAAACUAGAUGCCAAUAACCAGGGCCACAAAAAAAGGGCAGUGGUUGCAACUCUGUAAAAAUUUAUGCCUGCCUACAGACAAUGACUAAAGGGGGACCCCCCCCCCAGGAAAAGAGUUGGAUACACGCCAGUGCUGGGAGACUGAUUGUAUGCUGCUUUGGAUUUUCCAUUAAUGCAAGAUAACUGUCC
rnacentral:lncRNA from 1 species